GACGGAGGAUGCAAGUGUUAUCCGGAAUCACUGGGCGUAAAGCGUCUGUAGGUGGUUCGAAAAGUCCACUGUUAAAAAUUGAGGCUUAACUUCAAAGAUGCCGUGGAAACUUUCAAACUAGAGUAUGGUAGGGGUAGAGGGAAUUUCCAGUGGGGCGGUGAAAUGCGUAGAUAUUGGAAAGACCACCGAUGGCGAAGGCACUCUACUGGGCCACUACUGACACUGAGAGACGAAAGCUAGGGGAGCAAAUGGG
rnacentral:rRNA from 1 species